CCUGGCUAAUCUUCUGCAGAUGCAGAUCUUCGUUAAGACCCUCACCGGCAAGACCAUCACCCUCGAGGUAGAGUCUUCUGACACCAUCGACAAUGUCAAGGCCAAGAUCCAGGACAAGGAGGGCAUUCCCCCGGACCAGCAGAGGCUCAUCUUCGCUGGCAAGCAGCUGGAGGAUGGCCGCACUCUCGCGGACUACAACAUCCAGAAGGAGAGCACCCUCCACCUGGUGCUCCGCCUGAGGGGUGGGAUGCAGAUCUUCGUGAAGACCCUCACUGGCAAGACCAUCACCCUUGAGGUGGAGAGCUCUGACACCAUUGACAACGUGAAGGCCAAGAUCCAGGACAAGGAGGGCAUCCCCCAGACCAGCAGCGACUGAUCUUCGCCGGCAAGCAGCUGGAGGACGGCCGCACCCUUGCAGACUACAACAUCCAGAAGGAGAGCACGCUCCACUUGGUGCUCCGCCUGAGAGGUGGGAUGCAGAUCUUCGUAAAGACCCUCACUGGCAAGACCAUCACCCUUGAGGUGGAGAGCUCCGACACCAUUGACAAUGUGAAGGCCAAGAUCCAUGAUAAGGAGGGCAUCCCCCCAGACCAGCAGAGGCUCAUCUUCGCUGGCAAGCAGCUGGAGGAUGGCCGCACCCUUGCGGACUACAACAUUCAAAAGGAGAGCACACUCCACCUGGUGCUCCGCCUGAGGGGUGGGAUGCAGAUCUUCGUGAAGACCCUCACUGGGAAGACCAUCACCCUGGAGGUGGAGAGCUCCGACACCAUUGACAACGUGAAGGCCAAGAUCCAGGACAAGGAGGGCAUCCCCCCGGACCAGCAGCGACUGAUCUUCGCUGGCAAGCAGCUGGAGGAUGGCCGAACCCUUGCUGACUACAAUAUCCAGAAGGAGUCCACCCUCCAUUUAGUGCUCCGCCUCCGUGGUGGGAUGCAGAUCUUUGUGAAGACCCUCACCGGCAAGACCAUCACCCUCGAGGUGGAGUCCUCCGACACCAUUGACAACGUCAAGGCCAAGAUCCAGGACAAGGAGGGCAUCCCCCCAGACCAGCAGAGGCUCAUCUUCGCUGGCAAGCAGCUCGAGGACGGGCGCACGCUUGCUGACUACAACAUCCAGAAGGAAAGCACCCUCCACCUGGUGCUGCGCCUGAGAGGAGGCAUGCAGAUCUUCGUGAAGACCCUCACCGGCAAGACCAUCACCCUCGAGGUGGAGUCCUCCGACACCAUUGACAACGUCAAGGCCAAGAUCCAGGACAAGGAGGGCAUCCCCCCAGACCAGCAGAGGCUCAUCUUCGCCGGCAAGCAGCUCGAGGACGGGCGCACGCUUGCUGACUACAACAUCCAGAAGGAAAGCACCCUCCACCUGGUGCUCCGCCUGAGGGGAGGCAUGCAGAUCUUUGUGAAGACCUUGACCGGCAAGACGAUCACCCUUGAGGUUGAGUCUUCCGACACCAUUGACAACGUGAAGGCCAAGAUCCAGGACAAGGAGGGCAUCCCCCCAGACCAGCAGAGGCUCAUCUUUGCCGGCAAGCAGCUUGAGGAUGGCCGCACCCUUGCGGACUACAACAUCCAGAAGGAAAGCACCCUCCACCUGGUGCUCCGCCUGAGGGGAGGCAUGCAGAUCUUCGUGAAGACCCUCACCGGCAAGACCAUCACCCUCGAGGUGGAGUCCUCCGACACCAUUGACAACGUCAAGGCCAAGAUCCAGGACAAGGAGGGCAUCCCCCCAGACCAGCAGAGGCUCAUCUUCGCCGGCAAGCAGCUCGAGGACGGGCGCACGCUUGCUGACUACAACAUCCAGAAGGAGAGCACUCUCCACCUGGUGCUCCGCCUGAGGGGUGGGAUGCAGAUCUUUGUGAAGACUUUGACUGGCAAGACCAUUACUCUGGAGGUUGAGAGCUCCGACACCAUUGACAACGUGAAGGCCAAGAUCCAGGACAAGGAGGGUAUCCCCCCGGACCAGCAGCGUCUGAUCUUUGCCGGCAAGCAGUUGGAGGAUGGCCGCACCCUUGCUGACUACAAUAUCCAGAAGGAAUCCACCCUGCACCUGGUGCUGCGUCUUCGUGGUGGCCAGUAAGCCAUCGGUCACCGAAGCUGCUGCUGUACCUGGGUCUUCUGGUCUCUGCCAUGAAGGGUGGCGUCUUUAAGUAUAUGUGUCAUUUGGCGUUGAAUUUGUGUAUGGUUUCAUGAACUGGUUGUCUAAAACAGUUGUGGUGGUGCCGCAGUAUGGCUUAAGCAUGAAUAAAUGAUGUUUGAACUUAAAUUUGUUGGCUUUUGA